AACGAACGCUGGCGGCAUGCCUAACACAUGCAAGUCGAACGGGAUCCAGGCUUCGGCCUGGUGAGAGUGGCGGACGGGUGAGUAACGCGUGGGAACCUGCCCAAUGGUCUGGGAUAACCGCGGGAAACUGCGGCUAAUACCGGAUAAGCCCGAGAGGGGAAAGAUUUAUCGCCGAUGGAGGGGCCCGCGUCAGAUUAGGUAGUUGGUGGGGUAAUGGCCUACCAAGCCUACGAUCUGUAGCNGGUCUGAGAGGAUGAUCAGCCACACUGGGACUGAGAUACGGCCCAGACUCCUACGGGAGGCAGCAGUGGGGAAUAUUGGACAAUGGGGGCAACCCUGAUCCAGCAAUGCCGCGUGAGUGAUGAAGGCCUUAGGGUUGUAAAGCUCUUUUGCCAGGGACGAUGAUGACGGUACCUGGA
rnacentral:rRNA from 1 species